rnacentral:rRNA from 1 species
UACGGAGGGGGCUAGCGUUGUUCGGAAGUACUGGGCGUAAAGCGCACGUAGGCGGCUUUGUAAGUUAGAGGUGAAAGCCCAGGGCUUAACCCUGGAAUUGCCUUUAAGACUGCAUCGCUAGAAUCGUGGAGAGGUGAGUGGAAUUCCGAGUGUAGAGGUGAAAUUCGUAGAUAUUCGGAAGAAACACCAGUGGCGAAGGCGACUCACUGGACACGUAUUGACGCUGAGGUGCGAAAGCGUGGGGAGCAAACAGG